CCUACGGGAGGCAGCAGUGGGGAAUAUUGCACAAUGGGGGAAACCCUGAUGCAGCGACGCCGCGUGAGUGAAGAAGUAUCUCGGUAUGUAAAGCUCUAUUAGCAGGGAAGAAAAUGACGGUACCUGAUUAAGAAGCCCCGGCGAACUACGUGCCAGCAGCCGCGGGAAUACGUAGGGGGCAAGCGUUAUCCGGAUUUACUGGGUGUAAAGGGAGCGUAGACGGCAGCACAAGUCUGGAGUGAAAUGCCGGGGCUUAACCCCGGAACUGCUUUGGAAACUGGGCAGCUAGAGUGCAGGAGAGGUAAGUGGAAUUCCUGGUGUAGCGGUGAAAUGCGUAGAUAUUAGGAGGAACACCAGUGGCGAAGGCGGCUUACUGGACUGUAACUGACGUUGAGGCUCGAAAGCGUGGGGAGCGAACAGGAUUAGAUACCCGAGUAGUC
rnacentral:rRNA from 1 species